GGGAGUCGUAUGAGUUGAGAGACUCACGUACGGUUCUGCGAGAGGCUGAGGGUGAAACUCCUACGGCCUACUUACC
rnacentral:ncRNA from 1 species